GAUGAACGCUGGCGGCGUGCCUAAUACAUGCAAGUCGAGCGAACGGACGAGAAGCUUGCUUCUCUGAUGUUAGCGGCGGACGGGUGAGUAACACGUGGAUAACCUACCUAUAAGACUGGGAUAGCUUCGGGAAACCGGAGCUAAUACCGGAUAAUAUUUUGAACCGCAUGGUUCAAAAGUGAAAGACGGUCUUGCUGUCACUUAUAGAUGGAUCCGCGCUGCAUUAGCUAGUUGGUAAGGUAACGGCUUACCAAGGCAACGAUGCACAGCCGACCUGAGAGGGUGAUCGGCCACACUGGAACUGAGCCACGGUCCAGACUCCUACGGGAGGCAGCAGUAGGGAAUCUUCCGCAAUGGGCGAAAGCCUGACGGAGCAACGCCGCGUGAGUGAUGAAGGUCUUCGGAUCGUAAAACUCUGUUAUUAGGGAAGAACAUAUGUGUAAGUAACUGUGCACAUCUUGACGGUACCUAAUCAGAAAGCCACGGCUAACUACGUG
rnacentral:rRNA from 1 species